rnacentral:rRNA from 1 species
AGAGUUUGAUCAUGGCUCAGAUUGAACGCUGGCGGCAGGCCUAACACAUGCAAGUCGAGCGGUAGCACAAGAGAGCUUGCUCUCUGGGUGACGAGCGGCGGACGGGUGAGUAAUGUCUGGGAAACUGCCUGAUGGAGGGGGAUAACUACUGGAAACGGUAGCUAAUACCGCAUAACGUCUUCGGACCAAAGUGGGGGACCUUCGGGCCUCACGCCAUCAGAUGUGCCCAGAUGGGAUUAGCUAGUAGGUGGGGUAAUGGCUCACCUAGGCGACGAUCCCUAGCUGGUCUGAGAGGAUGACCAGCCACACUGGAACUGAGACACGGUCCAGACUCCUACGGGAGGCAGCAGUGGGGAAUAUUGCACAAUGGGCGCAAGCCUGAUGCAGCCAUGCCGCGUGUGUGAAGAAGGCCUUCGGGUUGUAAAGCACUUUCAGCGAGGAGGAAGGGUAGUGUGUUAAUAGCACAUUGCAUUGACGUUACUCGCAGAAGAAGCACCGGCUAACUCCGUGCCAGCAGCCGCGGUAAUACGGAGGGUGCAAGCGUUAAUCGGAAUUACUGGGCGUAAAGCGCACGCAGGCGGUUUGUUAAGUCAGAUGUGAAAUCCCCGCGCUUAACGUGGGAACUGCAUUUGAAACUGGCAAGCUAGAGUCUUGUAGAGGGGGGUAGAAUUCCAGGCGUAGCGGUGAAAUGCGUAGAGAUCUGGAGGAAUACCGGUGGCGAAGGCGGCCCCCUGGACAAAGACUGACGCUCAGGUGCGAAAGCGUGGGGAGCAAACAGGAUUAGAUACCCCGGUAGU